GUUGUGUCGGAUGUCGGUUAUCUGGAAGAGAAGUGGAAAGAUCCAGUGUUAAUGAACAUGAUUGGUGGGUGAGCCGGAACCAGCGAAAAAGGAGUCUGGUGCCUUGUUGUGGCUGUGAUGUUUCCUCUGGCCGUCUGCUGCAUCGGUGCCCCCAACGUCCAGGAACUAAUCCCCGAUCCUAUGUGGUUUUGACCCUAAUUCACGGCUGGGAGAGAAAACCCUGUGGAGAAGAACGUGCACUGGUGUUGUGAGACGACCCUCUUUUAUAUACAUUCCCGCUCGUGGCUUUGGACCCCUACUCCGCCGAGUGGUGACGUGUCAACAAUAGCAAGUAAGGAACCGUGUGCAUAUUGUGGGGGACGACGACUGAGAGAAGUGUUGGCUGCUAUAUGAACAUCCAGCUGUGUAGCCCUUGUGUA